rnacentral:rRNA from 1 species
UACGGGGGGAGCAAGCGUUGUUCGGAUUUACUGGGCGUAAAGGGCGCGUAGGCGGCCAGCACAAGUCAGUUGUGAAAUCUCCGAGCUUAACUCGGAAAGGUCAACUGAUACUGUGCGGCUAGAGUGCGGAAGGGGCAACUGGAAUUCUUGGUGUAGCGGUGAAAUGCGUAGAUAUCGAGAGGAACACCUGCGGCGAAGGCGGGUUGCUGGGCUGACACUGACGCUGAACUGCGAAAGCUAGGGGAGCGAACGGG